rnacentral:lncRNA from 1 species
GGCGAAAAAAGCGAGUCUGCUUUAUUUAUAUUUUACCAUAACCUUGAGUCAAGCAAAGCCUUCUGAGUUUGGUUAACAGAAAAUGUGUGGAAGCCCCUAAUCCAGUUAAACAUCAUCACCUGACCUGUGGGUGUCCUUAGUUGUUAUACUUUGUUACACACAUUCGAUCGGAGGAUCACUCCCACCACUGGUUUUUGAAGCCUUGAGAAAGCUUAUGGUCGCUAACCAUUUUCAUCUGACUAAGCAAUAAAAUAAUUUAUAUAUAAUGCAUAAUUCGCUUGAAAAAUAAAACGAACAUUAUUAUGCUCUUUGUUUUUUUUACACACAUUUUUUUAAACUCCGUGUUUAAAUCGUUAAAUCGUUAUUGGUUACCGUAAGUUAAGUCACCUUAAUAAUGACGAAAUUUCUCUUUGUAAAUAGCUAAAUAUAACGAUACAUUUCAUUUUCUUCCCGGAUAAAUAUUUUAACGUGCAUAAGUUGUAUUGAUUUUUCGUGUAACUGAAGCACUUUCAAAACUAGGGUCUUCAAUUAUGAUUGAGAAAGCAAUAAAUUGUUUUUUCAGGAUGCAGUCUCUGUCAACCCAUGGGAUGAGGCUUACCGAGAUCAUUUAAAAGACACUUGUGACUAUGCAUUACCUUUCUUAAAUCGAUCUACCUCAGAUACAGCCUCUCACGAUAGAACUCUGUCCAAAAAGCGAUUGAAAAAAUUUGUUUCUCGUAGAAAAUGGCAGAAGGCAACAAACGCCAUGGUUGCUCUGAAACGCAUGGGAGUCCGGUUGGUAUAAUACCUAUCAAUAUGAACUUUGUUACGGUGAUCUGAGUGCUACAUAUUUCUGCAGUUGGUUGUCUUCAUUGAACGAACCGUCCACAUCUACCUAUGUCAAACUGUAAUGUCCACAGGAAGACAUUUAUUAUUUUUUUUUUUCUGUUUACUUCUUUAUUCACACCAACACACAUUCCUUUAAGAUGUCACCGGCAAUAUCUAGAAGAUACUUAUUAAGGAUUAUAUAAUCAAAUAAUCUGUUCAACACAGGAUUAAUACGUAUAUGUAUGUGUAAUAC